rnacentral:rRNA from 1 species
GAUGAACGCUGGCGGCGUGCCUAAUACAUGCAAGUCGAGCGAACAGAUGAGGAGCUUGCUCCUCUGACGUUAGCGGCGGACGGGUGAGUAACACGUGGAUAACCUACCUAUAAGACUGGGAUAACUUCGGGAAACCGGAGCUCAUACCGGAUAAUAUAUUGAACCGCAUGGUUCAUUAGUGAAAGACGGUUUUGCUGUCACUUAUAGAUGGAUCCGGGUCGCAUUAGCUAGUUGGUAAGGUAACGGCUUACCAAGGCGACGAUGCGUAGCCGACCUGAGAGGGUGAUCAGCCACACUGGAACUGAGACACGGUCCAGACUCCUACGGGAGGCAGCAGUAGGGAAUCUUCCGCAAUGGGCGAAAGCCUGACCGAGCAACGCCGCGUGAGUGAUGAAGGUCUUCGGAUCGUAAAACUCUGUUAGUAGGGAAGAACAAAUGUGUAUUUAACUAUGCACGUCUUGACGGUACCUAAACAGAAAGCCACGGCUAACUUCGUG